ensembl:lncRNA
CUUGAAUGACUAGAUAGGACAUUUUUUAAUUUAAUCACAUUUUUGUGUUUAAUGUUUAAUUUAAAGUGAGAUCAGAUCCCAAUUCCUGCUAAGAGGAAAUCCUGUCCUCCUAUUUAGAAUAUUCCAAGAGAAUAAGGUGAAUCAAAUUACAACUGCAAAUCAGGUAUGGUAGCACAUGCCUAUAAUCCCAGCACCCAGGAGGCUGAGGCAGAAAGAUCGCUGUGAGUUUGAGACCAGCCUAGGCUACAUAGUGAGUUCAAGGCCAGCCCGAACUACACUGCCAGACCCUGUCUGAAAAAAAGAAAAAAAAAUUAGAACUGUAGCAAAGCCCAGCACCCCCUCCAGUGCAGAUCAGAUUGAUUUAGCAUCCCAUUCCUGACAAAAGAAGGGGCAUACCUUAUUCUAAAGGGAACUAUUACUUGUUUUUAUACCUAUUGUCCUUUUAUAGAAAAUUACCCAGUAAAAAAACUAUAGGACAUGCAAAGGAGCAGAAAACGUUGAUCCAGAGACAAAAGUCAGUAGAGGCAAACUCAGAUUAAUAGAUGUUUGAAUUGUUUGAAUUAUUGAGGGUUGACAAUAAUGAUAAAAAUGCUGAAAGAGCUAGGAAAAAAAGGUGGGGAGAAGGAGACAUGUAUGAAGAGAUAUAAGAUUUUAGCAGAGACCUGGAAACAGAAAAAUACAAACAAUUCUAGAAUAUGACCUAAGAUAACACAUAAAGGAAUAGAUGAAUAAACUUGAAGACAGAGCAGUUGAAAGUAUACAAAGUUAAAGAAAAGGAUUGACAAUAGAAUAUCAAAAUUAAUAAAAAUCAGAUUUGAAGGCAAAAUCAGUUAGUCUGCCAUCCCUGUAAUUGAGCUACGGAAGCAGAUUUAGAGAAUGGUAGAGAAGAAAUGUUCAGACACUUUGACCAUGGAUUCCUUUGAAAUUUAUGGAAAUCAGCACAGAGAAAAACCCAAACAGUUCUCUUAAAUAAUUAAAAUUGAUAAACACUUAGAAAAGACUGAUACUGUUAUACCAGGCUAAAUGUAUCUUCCCCCCAAAUUUAUAUUCACCUGGAACUACAGUGUCACCUAUUUGGGAAUUGGGUUUUUGGUGAAAUUAGUAACUUCAUACUACAUUAAGGUUGGCCUUAAAUCAAAUGACCGAUGUCCUUAUAAGAAGGCCAUGGAGAAAUGUGGGCAUAUAGAAAAGGCCAUGUGAAAAUGGAGGCAGAGAUUAGAGUGAUGCAGCUACAAACUAAAGGUGCCCACAGGAGAAGCUAAGAAAAGGCAAAGGAUCCUUUCCUGGAAUCUUUAGAGGGAACCUUGAUUUCGGACCUCUAACCUCUAGAUCUGUGGAAGAGUAAUUUGUGUGUGUACAUGUGUGGUACUAGGUAUUGAACGGAGGGUCUGUGCACUGAUCUACAUCCCUGGCCCUAUUUUAAUUUUUGAGACAGAAUCUUGCUAAAUUUCCCAGCCUGGGUUCAAACUUACGAUAUUCCUGCCUCAUCCUCCGCAAGUCCUGGGAUUACAGGUAUGCACCACCACACCCUGGACAAAUUUGUUUUAGGCCACCUGGUUCAUGAUUAUUUGUCAUGGCAGUUUAGGAAAUUAUUCAAGUUAAAAAGAUCAUAACCAUUCUUGCUUCUGUGUGGUGUGGGGAGAAGCUGGUCAUCCAUAUCCUAUAGUGCUGCUACCUCACCCCUACCCUGUAGGGUCUGCAUCCAUAGGACCCUCAUUCUCCACUCCUUGGGGUACCACCCAGGAAGGUUACCUACCCUCUCCUUCAGGAGGGCUCCCUCCCACCCCCAUGAGCAGGAAUUUAGCAUUUUCCCUCCUUUCAGGGUUCAAAGGCAUGAAGGGCUCCCCUGUCACUUUAGGGGUGGAAGCACUAUAUUCAUCAUGCUAUCCUUAUCUGGACUAAGAACAGCCAAUUUGUUAUUAGAGAUAGCAGUGGGGCACAGGCCCUUCUCUAGUGUCCUGACCUAACAGCUUUUCCUGGCACUACCACACCACAGACAGUGCCUGUAGGGCUGACACCUGUGCUCUUUCUACCUGCUUGUUGUUCAUCUUGUCCCCGUCUCUGGCAAUCCAUUCCCUGAAUUCCCCAUUUCUAGAACUUUUCACCCAUCCUUUCCCUGAUCUUUUUCCAUUUCUUGACUGCAGCCAUGGAGUUACCAAAGGGACACUAGCAACAGCUGCUUCAAGAACUGAAGGAAGUACAGGAGGAAGAGUGGGAGCAGGAGCUGCAGGAGGGUGGAGGUGGCUACUUUAAACCAGUUUGAAUACCAAGGCAGAAUUAGAAGGGAGGUUGAAAAGGUAUAUGAGCAUUGUGAUGUCAAUGAAUGACAUUCUCAAUGUGUAUGUAUGCAAACCUCUCCUCCCUCUGGUGUGAGAAAAUCUACCUGGACCUCCUUUACUCGUGUCCUCACAGAAACUGCCCAAGCCCAGAAGUGUUACUGGGACAUGAUUUAGCUUUUUCAGUCAAGAACAUCUCAGAAAUCCCUGGCAGGUCAUCAAACCCCAGACAUGGAGACUUAGCUUUUCAUGACAUCUUGGUUGCAAUUUGGUCAACAAAAGGAGUACCAAGAUCGGUUCCAGUGCUAGUAUCUGUUCAACCUCAUUUUCUGUGUUGUGACCUUAUCUGCUACAUCUUUGAGGUAAUCCACGCUUCUAACGAACUUUUGAAUUCAAAUAUCUUCCCCCAAGAUGGCUCUUGACAACAUGGGUGUCAAAUGUUACUACCUCUAACGACAAACUGGCCUUGACUGACUGGCUGUUCUUUUGUCCAGAUGAGGAUAGCUUGAUGAAUGGAGGCAGCUGUCCUGGUCAUCCAUCACUCCUUGAAGUCUCCAGCCAUCAUUGCCACACUCCUUCACUUAAUGCACCACAUUAUUCCCUGUCCUGGUUAUGUCUAUGGGAACUUUUUAUAGUCCAUUUCUGUGGAGAGGUGCUGCCCCAGGAGUUCACUGAGGAAUCCCUGGAAAAGUCCAAAGGGAAACCUAUCUGCCUAAUAUUUUGGAUCCUGUGCCAGGUGCAGGAAAAGAGCAGCAUCUCUGUUUUUAGACUUCUCUAAGGUGUGUCAGAAGCAGUCCCAAAUUGGCUACCACCUGCUCUACUAUCUGAAGACCAGCAAAGCUGCAUCAGGGAAGAUGAACCUGGCCUAAGCUACCCAGCAAGGUGAUCUGUACACCUGCCUAAUGAUGGACAUGAAGGCCUGCGUGGAGGACAUGUGACUGCUGUGCCACCUUAUGACCUCCAUCUACGAGUUUUCAGAUGACACUUUGAGGAGUAGGAAGCUCUUGAACAUGAUUGUGACUAUUGACUCAGCACGACUUCAGGAGCUGGUCUGCUAUAUGAUGAUGGAGACCUAGUCAUGUUUUGAAAUGACUCAGACUUCAGCAUACUCAUCUAGAACCUGGAAUGGGAAAUCUUUGAGCAGUCUUGUGUCUGGCAGCUUUUCCUAGCCCACAACAUCUACCUGGAGACCAUAAUCAACAUUCCGUAGCAUGUCAAAUACCAGGAACACCCAGAGGCCUUAUCCUUCCUGCUGCUUCAGAAGCCCAGUGAGGAAAUAGUAAAGAUGAUGCUGAACCAGCCCUGCCAUUCUUAGGGCCAAUUCACCACCAUCAGCCUGUUGCACUGGCACAUAAAGCAUGAUAAGCUGCCAGGGGAGCACAUCAAGUUCCUGCUGAUCAAAAAACAGCCUCCCUCACAGGCAAAGCCUGAGGAGCUCCAGCAACAGGUUGGCCCAGCUGACCCUGGAGCAGAUCCUGGAGCACCUGGACAACCUGCAGCUCAAUCUGGCCAACACCAAGCAGAACUUUGUUAGCGAGAAUUAAUACUUUACUGUAGAAUGCACGGGAAAGCUGUGAGAAAGACCACAAGGUGAACUUCAGUAUCCUCUUCUCCCUGGGGAAGGACUAGGAGGACUCUUCCACUAAGCCACACAAGAGCUAGUGAAAGGCAGAUCUGUUCAGCUCUCCAAGUUGGAAGAAUGCCAGUUAGCCUCCCAAGGCUGAGGAGGAUAGGCUCCUGCAGUGCUUAGGAGAAAGAAGACACAAAACCCAAACCCAACAAGCAGAAAUGAAAAGGGCUCUCUGCAGUGGAUUCUGACAAUGACUGAGGCCCUGUGUUCCCAUGCCACUCCAGUUGGACUGCCCUCUUUCCUGGUGAAUCAUAAGGUAAUAGGGGCUUGGAAGAUAUAGGGGACACACCCUCUCCCUCCUGAAGUUUGCCUGGUGGGAAAGAUAAGCUGUUUCCUGUGGUCCACCGUGAGAAACUGUCAUGCAACUCCUCCCUUACCACCUCUUCUGCUCCCACCCCCACUGCUGCUCCCACUUGGGUUCUCAUGGCAGCCAGAGGCUGUAAAAAACAGACUGUGGUUUAGUAUUAUCCUCCCAGUCUCCCAAAGAACUAUUUCAGUAGAGAAGGAAGAUGACAAAAGGGCCUCUGGGCAGAGAAGCUAGGAUGAGAGUAGAUACUUAGUGUGUGGGUAUCUCUUCCUGCUUCCUCCACUCUCUUGAUUUCUUCUAAACAGACAUCUGGUAAUCAGUGUGCCUAAAACAGUGUGGUGAAUUGGAUUUCUGACUUGUGGUCAUUGUCCAUUCUGGGCAGUGCUACAACCUUCAGAAAUAAUCCUGAAAGGCCCCAGCCUGAAGUGCUCUGCCCAGGAAGAUUGGGUUGGCCUGAGGUUGGCACCUCACACUGGGCCAGAGCCCAGGGGAGUCCCAGAGGCAAACUGCUCAUAGCUGUAAAAUGUUUCCAUUUCCUUGGUUCUGUAUUUUGCUUUUAUGUUUCCUCCUCCUCCUCCUCCCCCCUCCUCCCCCCUUCUCCCUCCUCCUCCCUCCUCCUCCCUCCUCCUCCCCCCUCCUCCCCC